rnacentral:lncRNA from 1 species
CGACAACAGCCAGGAGGACCCGCCUUAACUGAGCUGAACUUUGCUAAAUCUAGAAACUCUCAGCUUGGUUCAUGUAACUUACCUAGUUUUAUUACUUCAUUUGGUUUCUGAAGGUCAGAACUUUCCUAAAUUGGCUAGGUACCAGUUGAUUGGGGAAAUACUAAGAGAAAUGAAAUCUAUGAUCUGAUGAGGUGGGAUUCAGUGUGAAGAAAGGGGUAUACAGGAGAAGUAAUAUGACAUGAAGUACCUUUCAUCCUCAGCAAAGUCUGCAUAUGACUAUUGACAUGAGUCAUUAAGAGGUAGAGUCUUGAAUGAUUUUCCUAAAGUUUGAAUGAUUUUCCUGUUGAGUUUCGUGAAUGAUUUUCCUGUUCAGUUGGCAAUUACUCAUUUGAAAACGCUUGGGCCUCAUUUGCUCAUAAAUCAUUUCCAAAGAGAAUUUCAGAAAUGGAAGGGUCCUUAGAGAUUGUCUAGUCCAACAGUCUAUUUCAUAAACAAGAAAACUGAAAUACAGAGAUUGAGAGACUUGUCCAAGUUAGUCUUCGAGGGCUCCACCUUGACUUUCUUACAUGCUCUCACAUAAACCCUCUCCCUGCCACUUUCCUUAGUGUGUGAACUGCCUGCUGAUUCCAAGUCCUUGUGUAUCCUGAGUAAGCUUUAAUGACAAACUAUUUUACUCCAGACUAUGGUGAAAUCAAAU